rnacentral:rRNA from 1 species
GAGUUUGAUCCUGGCUCAGGACGAACGCUGGCGGCACGCCUAACACAUGCAAGUCGAACGGAGAUAUGAAGAUUUAUCGGAAUAUCUUAGUGGCGGACGGGUGAGUAACACGUGAGCAACCUGCCUUUGAGAGUGGAAUAGCUUCUGGAAACGGAUGGUAAUGCCUCAUAACAUACAAGAAUCGCAUGGUUUUUGUAUCAAAGAUUUAUCGCUCAAAGAUGGGCUCGCGUCUGAUUAGAUAGUUGGUGGGGUAACGGCUCACCAAGUCGACGAUCAGUAGCCGGACUGAGAGGUUGAACGGCCACAUUGGGACUGAGACACGGCCCAGACUCCUACGGGAGGCAGCAGUGGGGAAUAUUGCACAAUGGGGGAAACCCUGAUGCAGCGAUGCCGCGUGGAGGAAGAAGGUUUUCGGAUUGUAAACUCCUGUCUUAAAGGACGAAAAUGACGGUACUUUAGGAGGAAGCUCCGGCUAACUACGUGCCAGCAGCCGCGGUAAUACGUAGGGAGCGAGCGUUGUCCGGA